rnacentral:rRNA from 1 species
AGAGUUUGAUCCUGGCUCAGAACGAACGCUGGCGGCGUGCCUAACACAUGCAAGUCGAACGAGAAAGGGGCUUCGGCCCUGAGUAAAGUGGCGCACGGGUGAGUAACACGUGGGUAACCUGCCUCUAAGACUGGGAUAACUCGUCGAAAGAUGAGCUAAUACCGGAUAAGACCACAGUUCCUGCGGGGACAGGGGUCAAAGGUAGCCUAUGCUUGCAAGCUAUCACUUAGAGAUGGGCCUGCGUACCAUUAGCUAGUUGGUAGGGUAACGGCCUACCAAGGCAAAGAUGGUUAGCUGGUCUGAGAGGAUGAUCAGCCACACUGGAACUGAGACACGGUCCAGACUCCUACGGGAGGCAGCAGUGGGGAAUAUUGCGCAAUGGGCGAAAGCCUGACGCAGCAACGCCGCGUGAGUGAUGAAGGCCUUCGGGUCGUAAAGCUCUGUCGGAGGGAACGAAUGCUCCUGAGGUUAACAGCCUUGGGAAGUGACGGUACCCUCAAGGAAAGCACCGGCUUACUCUGUGCCAGCAGCCGCGGUA